GGGAUUUGUUUCAGCCGCCGCGGUAAUGCGUAGGGUGCAAGCGUUAAUCGGAAUUACUGGGCGUAAAGCGUGCGCAGGCGGUUAUGCAAGACAGAGGUGAAAUCCCCGGGCUCAACCUGGGAACUGCCUUUGUGACUGCAUGGCUAGAGUACGGUAGAGGGGGAUGGAAUUCCGCGUGUAGCAGUGAAAUGCGUAGAUAUGCGGAGGAACACCGAUGGCGAAGGCAAUCCCCUGGACCUGUACUGACGCUCAUGCACGAAAGCGUGGGAAGCAAACAGGAUUAGAUACCCUGGUAGUCCACGCCCUAAACGAUGUCAACUGGUUGUUGGGAGGGUUUCUUCUCAGUAACGUAGCUAACGCGUGAAGUUGACCGCCUGGGGAGUACGGCCGCAAGGUUGAAACUCAAAGGAAUUGACGGGGACCCGCACAAGCGGUGGAUGAUGUGGUUUAAUUCGAUGCAACGCGAAAAACCUUACCUACCCUUGACAUGCCAGGAAUCCUGAAGAGAUUUGGGAGUGCUCGAAAGAGAGCCUGGACACAGGUGCUGCAUGGCCGUCGUCAGCUCGUGUCGUGAGAUGUUGGGUUAAGUCCCGCAACGAGCGCAACCCUUGUCAUUAGUUGCUACGAAAGGGCACUCUAAUGAGACUGCCGGUGACAAACCGGAGGAAGGUGGGGAUGACGUCAGGUCAUCAUGGCCCUUAUGGGUAGGGCUACACACGUCAUACAAUGGCCGGGACAGAGGGCUGCCAACCCGCGAGGGGGAGCUAAUCCCAGAAACCCGGUCGUAGUCCGGAUCGUAGUCUGCAACUCGACUGCGUGAAGUCGGAAUCGCUAGUAAUCGCGGAUCAGCUUGCCGCGGUGAAUACGUUCCCGGGUCUUGUACACACCGCCCGUCAAAC
rnacentral:rRNA from 1 species